UUUUAUUUUCAUUUUUAGGCCACAACUUCCAUUCCAUUCUUAUCGUCUUUUAUCGAUUUCCAAAUUGCCGCCCUUCUCGUCCAAUACUCUUUCUUCCACUUUUCCUUACUUCCUCUUUCUAUUUUCUUCUUCACUCUUCUUUUCUUUCGCUUUUCCUUACUUCAAUCUCCUCCACGAUUCUUUUACCUUGCGCUCCUCCAUCGCCGUCCACCGCUUACGUGUUCAACAAUUUCAGGCUGUUGGUAUAUGGUGGCGGACUUUACGAAUCCAGUGUUGACAGUGGGUGGGAAGACGUUGAUGGUGUUGCAGGUUGUAGGGAUUGCCAUCAGUGAUAACGCGACGGUGAAAGUGGAGAUGUCGAAUCGGGUCCCAGGGUCAAAGCACCAACGCUCGACUGGACCACAAGUAGUUGAAUCGAUUAUUCCUGGAAGUAGUCUCGAUGACGAGGGUGGAAUUAACGACCAUGUUAGCUUGAAAGCUUUUCUUACCAGAUGAUAAGUUCAAUCUUGAUCAUCUUCUGAUAAGGGUUUUCUCUAUAGGUACAAGAGUUGUGAAAUUGGAGUGUCUGACUUCCUAAAUUUUAACUACAUAUGUUUCUCCAUUGAUGGUACUCUGAAGGUCAAUUCAUUUCCAUCCCUGAAGAAGAUGUCCAGAAUGAAUAUCAAAAUCACUAACACUGCUGAGAAAGUAACAUGUUCGUAUAAAUAAUCUUUUGUUGCGUUCAAGUAUCUUGCUUUUCUAAAUAUAAUGUAGUAUUUUCUAUGUAAUUGGUAUGAACAACCCUUUCAUAUAUGUAAUAUCCUAUUGUAGAAAUUAUAAUAUGCUUUCUUAUUUGCUACAA